GGGUUAUUAGCUCAGUUGGUUUAGAGCGCUGCCUUGACAGGGCAGAGGUCACUGGUUCGAAUCCAGUAUAACCCACUA
rnacentral:tRNA from 3 species